AUGAAUACCUUAAUAGAAUAUAUCGGUCCGAUUAUCCUCAUAGUACUAAUAAUCUCUUAUAGCAUCUAUCGCAGAUGCCAUCCUAAUAAUAUGGACACUAAACAAGCGCUCAAAUGUCCAAAAUGUAAGUCAAUAAAACUGCAAACUUACAUUCCAACACAAAAAAGAUAUUCUCGUAAAGCCGGUAUGAUUGGUCAUGCAAUCAAUGGCAUAGAGGGAGCUAUGUUUGCAAUGCUCUAUGAAGCUGAUCGGACUUAUUAUCGUUGUCAACAUUGCGGUUACCGAUUUUCUAGAAAGGAGAAUCGUUUUAUUUCCAACAUCGAAUAACCUCCCUGAUUUUUAGAGAAUUUUGCUAUUGAAAACGAAGAAUUCUCACCCCUUACAAAUCCCGUUAUAUCAACAUUUACGAAAAUGAAACUUCCAUGAAAAUGGACUAAAAUCCUCUGAUUUGGAUAAAAUCGACACCAAUUAACACCAUAAAAUAGACUAGUCAUCAGUAGGUCAAACUAAUUUGACCUACUUUAUC
rnacentral:sRNA from 1 species